UGAGUCUACAUUUAGCAUUGGUGGUCACGUGCUUAACAAGUAUCGAUCUAAUCUUCUUCCUGACAAUGUUCAAGCACUGAUUUUAACUCAAAAUUGGUUACAUGGAUUUGAAAAUAUUGAUGAAGAUAAUGAAGAUGAUCAAAAGGAAGAGGAAGUUGUUCUAGACUUUUCAAUCCAUGACUCCAAUGCACCUCAUGUGUAGUAAUUCUAGAUCAGGGCAACCACCAGAUUUGAAGAAUCAUUUAGCAGCUGCCAAAUUAUGUUUUUUGCAAGGGGAAGGUUUUGUUAUUUGCAGUUCAUGUAGGACAAG